ACGGGAGGCAGCAGUGGGGAAUUUUUCGCAAUGGGGGCAACCCUGACGAAGCAAUGCCGCGUGGAUGAUGAAGUCUCUUGGGACGUAAAAUCCUUUCGACAGGGACGAAACCGCAAGGUUGACGGUACCUGUAGAAGAAGCCCCGGCUAACUCCGUGCCAGCAGCCGCGGUAAUACGGGGGGGGCAAGCGUUGUUCGGAAUUACUGGGCGUAAAGGGUGCGUAGGCGGCUCUCUAAGUCGGAUGUGAAAACUCUGGGCUCAACCCAGAGCCUGCAUCCGAAACUGGAGGGCUAGGGUUCUGGAGGGGAAAGCGGAAUUCCUGGUGUAGCGGUGAAAUGCGUAGAUAUCAGGAGGAACACCGGUGGCGAAGGCGGCUUUCUGGACAGAUACCGACGCUGAGGCACGAAAGCUAGGGGAGCAAACAGGAUUAGAUACCCUGGUA
rnacentral:rRNA from 1 species